rfam:Microgenomates (Woesebacteria) bacterium GW2011_GWC2_31_9 TR21_C0002, whole genome shotgun sequence.
CGGGGAUUAGUUUAAUGGUAGAAUUGGCGGCUGGGGGCCGUCAGGCUUGGGUUCAAUUCCCAGAUCCCCGA